rnacentral:rRNA from 1 species
UACGGAGGGUGCAAGCGUUGUUCGGAAUUACUGGGCGUAAAGCGCGUGUAGGCGGAUAUACAUGUCAGAUGUGAAAUCCCUUGGCUCAACUGAGGAAGUGCAUCUGAAACUGCAUAUCUUGAGUACGAUAGAGGAGAGUGGAAUUCCCAGUGUAGAGGUGAAAUUCAUAGAUAUUGGGAAGAACACCGGUGGCGAAGGCGGCUCUCUGGAUCGAUACUGACGCUGAUACGCGAAAGCGUGGGGAGCAAACAGGAUUAGAUACCCUGGUAGUCC